CAGUCGCCGCGGUAAUACGAAGGGGGCUAGCGUUGUUCGGAAUUACUGGGCGUAAAGGGCGCGUAGGCGGCCAUUCAAGUUAGAUGUGAAAGCCCUGGGCUCAACCUAGGAAUUGCAUUUGAUACUGUUUGGCUUGAGUUCGGGAGAGGUGAGUGGAAUUCCCAGUGUAGAGGUGAAAUUCGUAGAUAUUGGGAAGAACACCGGUGGCGAAGGCGGCUCACUGGACCGACAUUGACGCUGAGGCGCGAAAGCGUGGGGAGCAAACAGGAUUAGAUACCCCCGUAGUCCCUGUCUCUUAUAC
rnacentral:rRNA from 1 species